UGUGUACAGGUGUGUACAGGUGUGCACAGGUGUGUACAGGUAACACACACAGGUACCCGUCCUGGAUCCCGAUCAGCUACAGGUGAGACAGGUGUGUACAGGUGUGUACAGGUGUGUACAGGUGUGUGCAGGUGUGUACAGGUGUGUACAGGUGUGUACAGGUAACACACACAGGUACCCGUCCUGGAUCCCGAUCAGCUACAGGUGAGACAGGUGUGCACAGGUGUGUACAGGUGUGCACAGGUGUGUACAGGUGUGCACAGGUGUGUACAGGUAACACACACAGGUACCCGUCCUGGAUCCCGAUCAGCUACAGGUGAGACACAGGUGUGUACAGGUGAGACAGACACAGGUAUGGACAGGUGAGCCAGGUGUGUCACUGCGCCCAGUUGUGUUACGGGUGUAUCACAGACAUGUACAGGUGUGUGCAGGUGUGACAAGUGUGUGUUACCUAUACAGGUGUGUUAUAGGUGUAUCACAGGUGUGUCACAAGUGUGUUACCUGUGCAGGUGUGUGUUACCUGUACAGGUGUGUGUUACCUGUGCAGGUGUGUCUCACCUGGAAGUCGUUCCGUUUGAUGUUGGGCACGUCCAUGUUGUGGGUGGAAGGACAGAUGUCCUCGUACUUCUUGCCCGUGAAGAUGUCGAUGCCCACCAGGUGCACCUGGGGGGGAACUGGGAGUGACUGGGAGGGACUGGGAGGGACUGGGA
rnacentral:lncRNA from 1 species